rnacentral:rRNA from 1 species
UACGGAGGAUCCAAGCGUUAUCCGGAAUCAUUGGGUUUAAAGGGUCCGUAGGCGGUUUAUUAAGUCAGUGGUGAAAGCCCGCAGCUCAACUGUGGAACGGCCAUUGAUACUGAUAGACUUGAAUUAUUGGGAAGUAACUAGAAUAUGUAGUGUAGCGGUGAAAUGCUUAGAUAUUACAUGGAAUACCAAUUGCGAAGGCAGGUUACUACCAAUUGAUUGACGCUGAUGGACGAAAGCGUGGGGAGCGAACAGG